rnacentral:rRNA from 1 species
UACGUAGGUGACCAGCGUUGUCCGGAUUUACUGGGCGUAAAGAGCUCGUAGGCGGUCUGUCGCGUCUGCUGUGAAAACUCGGGGCUUAACCCCGGGCCUGCAGUGGGUACGGGCAGACUAGAGUGCGGUAGGGGAGACUGGAAUUCCUGGUGUAGCGGUGAAAUGCGCAGAUAUCAGGAGGAACACCGGUGGCGAAGGCGGGUCUCUGGGCCUUACCUGACGCUGAGGAGCGAAAGCGUGGGGAGCGAACAGG